UGCUUCUAUGACGUUAGCGGCGGACGGGUGAGUAACACGUGGGCAACCUGCCUGUAAGACUGGGAUAACUCCGGGAAACCGGAGCUAAUACCGGAUAACAUUUUCUCUUGCAUAAGAGAAAAUUGAAAGAUGGUUUCGGCUAUCACUUACAGAUGGGCCCGCGGUGCAUUAGCUAGUUGGUGAGGUAACGGCUCACCAAGGCAACGAUGCAUAGCCGACCUGAGAGGGUGAUCGGCCAUACUGGGACUGAGACACGGCCCAGACUCAUACGGGAGGCAGCAGUAGGGAAUCUUCCGCAAUGGACGAAAGUCUGACGGAGCAACGCCGCGUGAGUGAUGAAGGCUUUAGGGACGUAAAACUCUGUUGUUAGGGAAGAACAAGUACAAGAGUAACUGCUUGUACCUUGACGGUACCUAACCAGAAAGCCACGGCUAACUACGUGCCAGCAGCCGCGGUAAUACGUAGGUGGCAAGCGUUAUCCGGAAUUAUUGGGCGUAAAGCGCGCGCAGGCGGUUUCUUAAGUCUGAUGUGAAAGCCCACGGCUCAACCGUGGAGGGUCAUUGGAAACUGGGGAACUUGAGUGCAGAAGAGAAAAGCGGAAUUCCACGUGUAGCGGUGAAAUGCGUAGAGAUGUGGAGGAACACCAGUGGCGAAGGCGGCUUUUUGGUCUGUAACUGACGCUGAGGCGCGAAAGCGUGGGGAGCAAACAGGAUUAGAUACCCUGGUAGUCCACGCCGUAAACGAUGAGUGCUAAGUGUUAGAGGGUUCCGCCCUUUAGUGCUGCAGCUAACGCAUUAAGCACUCCGCCUGGGGAGUACGGUCGCAAGACUGAACUCAUAGGAUUGACGGGGCCCGCACAGCGUGGAGCAUGUGGUUUAUUCGAAGCACGCGAAGAACUUACAGGGCUUGACAUCUCUGACACUCUGAGAUAGAGGGUCCCUUCGGGGAAAAAUGACAGUUGUGCAUGUUUUUCUCACCUCAGGCCGGAGAUUU
rnacentral:rRNA from 1 species